AUUGAACGCUGGGGGCAGGCCUAACACAUGCAAGUCGAACGAGUGGCGGACGGGUGAGUAAUGUCUGGGAAACUGCCUGAUGGAGGGGGAUAACUACUGGAAACGGUAGCUAAUACCGCAUACCAUCGGAUGUGCCCAGAUGGGAUUAGCUAGUAGGUGGGGUAAAGGCUCACCUAGGCGAUGAUCAGUAGCCGGUCUGAGAGGAUGAACGGCCACAUUGGGACUGAUACACGGUCCAGACUCCUACGGGUGGCAGCAGUGGGGAAUAUUGCACAAUUGGCGCAAGCCUGAUGCAGCCAUGCCGCGUGUAUGAAGAAGGCCUUCGGGUUGUAAAGUACUUUCAGCGGGGAGGCGUUACCCGCAGAAGAAGCACCGGCUAACUCCGUGCCAGCAGCCGCGGUAAUUC
rnacentral:rRNA from 1 species